rnacentral:rRNA from 1 species
CCUACGGGGGGCAGCAGUGGGGAAUAUUGGACAAUGGGGGCAACCCUGAUCCAGCCAUGCCGCGUGUGUGAAGAAGGCCCUCGGGUUGUAAAGCACUUUCAGUGAGGAAGAACGCCUGGUGGUUAAUACCCAUCAGGAAAGACAUCACUCACAGAAGAAGCACCGGCUAACUCCGUGCCAGCAGCCGCGGUAAUACGGAGGGUGCGAGCGUUAAUCGGAAUUACUGGGCGUAAAGCGCGCGUAGGUGGCUUGAUAAGCCGGUUGUGAAAGCCCCGGGCUCAACCUGGGAACGGCAUCCGGAACUGUCAAGCUAGAGUGCAGGAGAGGAAGGUAGAAUUCCCGGUGUAGCGGUGAAAUGCGUAGAGAUCGGGAGGAAUACCAGUGGCGAAGGCGGCCUUCUGGACUGACACUGACACUGAGGUGCGAAAGCGUGGGUAGCAAACAGGAUUAGAUACCCUUGCAGUC